rnacentral:rRNA from 1 species
GACGAACGCUGGCGGCACGCCUAACACAUGCAAGUCGAACGGACGAGAAGAAGCUUGCUUCUUCAAGUUAGUGGCGGACGGGUGAGUAACACGUGAGCAACCUGCCUUUAAGAGGGGGAUAGCUUCUGGAAACGGAUGGUAAUACCCCCAUAACAUAUACUGAUGGCAUCUUCGGUAUAUCAAAGAUUUAUCGCUUAGAGAUGGGCUCGCGUCUGAUUAGAUAGUUGGUGAGGUAACGGCUCACCAAGUCGACGAUCAGUAGCCGGACUGAGAGGUUGAACGGCCACAUUGGGACUGAGACACGGCCCAAACUCCUACGGGAGGCAGCAGUGGGGAAUAUUGCACAAUGGGGGAAACCCUGAUGCAGCGACGCCGCGUGAGUGAAGAAGUAUUUCGGUAUGUAAAGCUCUAUCAGCAGGGAGGAAAAUGACGGUACCUGACUAAGAAGACCCGGCUAACUACGUG